AGUCAAGUGAAUAAGUGCAUCAGGUGGAUGCCUUGGCGAUGAUAGGCGACGAAGGACGUGUAAGCCUGCGAAAAGCGUGGGGGAGCUGGCAAUAAAGCUUUGAUCCCGCGAUGUCCGAAUGGGGAAACCCACCUAAUUUAUUAGGUACCUUUGACUGAAUACAUAGGUCACUGGAGCAAACCCGGAGAACUGAACCAUCUAAGUACCCGGAGGAAAAGAAAUCAACCGAGAUUCCGCAAGUAGUGGCGAGCGAACGCGGAAAAGCCUGUUAGUGAUAGUAGUCGAGAUAGAAGAACAUGCGGAAAGUAUGACCAUAGUGCGUGAUAGUCGCGUAUUCGAAAUCUCAACUGCGGUACUAAGCUAACGACAAGUAGGGCGGGACACGAGAAAUCCUGUCUGAAUAUGGGGGGACCAUCCUCCAAGGCUAAAUACUCAUCAUCGACCGAUAGUGAACCAGUACCGUGAGGGAAAGGCGAAAAGAACCCCGGAAGGGGAGUGAAAUAGAACCUGAAACCUGAUGCAUACAAACAGUGGGAGCGGACUUGUUCCGUGACUGCGUACCUUUUGUAUAAUGGGUCAACGACUUACGUUCAGUAGCAAGGUUAACCGAAUAGGGGAGCCGUAGAGAAAUCGAGUCUUAAUAGGGCGAUUAGUUGCUGGGCGUAGACCCGAAACCAAGUGAUCUAUCCAUGGCCAGGAUGAAGUUGCCGUAACAGGUAAUGGAGGUCCGAACCCACUAAUGUUGCAAAAUUAGGGGAUGAGCUGUGGAUAGGGGUGAAAGGCUAAACAAACUUGGAGAUAGCUGGUUCUCCCCGAAAACUAUUUAGGUAGUGCCUCGAGGUACACUCAUGGGGGUAAAGCACUGUUAUGGCUAGGGGGUUAUUGCAACUUACCAACCCAUGGCAAACUAAGAAUACCAUGAAGUGAUUCCUCGGGAGACAGACAUCGGGUGCUAACGUCCGGUGUCAAGAGGGAAACAACCCGAGACCGCCAGCUAAGGUCCCAAAUGAUAGAUUAAGUGGUAAACGAAGUGAGAAGGCCCGAGACAGCUAGGAUGUUGGCUUAGAAGCAGCCACCAUUUAAAGAAAGCGUAAUAGCUCACUAGUCGAGUCGUCUUGCGCGGAAGAUGUAACGGGGCUCAAAUCUAUAACCGAAGCUGCGGAUGUACGCUUAUGCGUAUGUGGUAGGGGAGCGUUCUGUAGGCCUGCGAAGGUGGAUUGUGAAGUCUGCUGGAGGUAUCAGAAGUGCGAAUGUUGACAUGAGUAGCGAUAAAGGGGGUGAAAAGCCCCCUCGCCGAAAACCCAAGGUUUCCUACGCAACGUUCAUCGGCGUAGGGUGAGUCGGCCCCUAAGGCGAGGCAGAGAUGCGUAGUCGAUGGGAAACAGGUUAAUAUUCCUGUACUUGAUUUAAGUGCGAUGUGGGGACGGAGAAGGUUAGGUCAGCAAACUGUUGGAAUAGUUUGUUCAAGCCAGUAGGUGGAAUUCUUAGGCAAAUCCGGGAAUUCAUUCAACACCGAGAAGUGAUAACGAGGUUCUACGGAACCGAAGUGACCGAUACCACGCUUCCAGGAAAAGCCACUAAGCUUCAGCUUAUAUCAAACCGUACCGCAAACCGACACAGGUGGGUGGGAUGAAAAUUCUAAGGCGCUUGAGAGAACUCGGGAGAAGGAACUCGGCAAAUUGAUACCGUAACUUCGGGAGAAGGUAUGCCUGGUAUUGUGAAGGAUUUACUCCGUAAGCAACGCCAGGCCGCAGAGAAUCGGUGGCUGCGACUGUUUAUUAAAAACACAGCACUCUGCUAACACGAAAGUGGACGUAUAGGGUGUGACGCCUGCCCGGUGCUGGAAGGUUAAUUGAAGAUGUGCAAGCAUCGGAUCGAAGCCCCAGUAAACGGCGGCCGUAACUAUAACGGUCCUAAGGUAGCGAAAUUCCUUGUCGGGUAAGUUCCGACCCGCACGAAUGGCGUAACGAUGGCCACACUGUCUCCUCCCGAGACUCAGCGAAGUUGAAAUGGUUGUGAAGAUGCAAUCUACCCGCUGCUAGACGGAAAGACCCCGUGAACCUUUACUGUAGCUUUGCAUUGGACUUUGAAGUCACUUGUGUAGGAUAGGUGGGAGGCUUUGAAGCACAGACGCUAGUCUGUGUGGAGCCGUCCUUGAAAUACCACCCUGGUGACUUUGAGGUUCUAACCCAGGUCCGUUAUCCGGAUCGGGGACCGUGCAUGGUAGGCAGUUUGACUGGGGCGGUCUCCUCCCAAAGAGUAACGGAGGAGUUCGAAGGUUACCUAGGUCCGGUCGGAAAUCGGACUGAUAGUGCAAUGGCAAAAGGUAGCUUAACUGCGAGACCAACAAGUCGAGCAGGUGCGAAAGCAGGACAUAGUGAUCCGGUGGUUCUGUAUGGAAGGGCCAUCGCUCAACGGAUAAAAGGUACUCCGGGGAUAACAGGCUGAUUCCGCCCAAGAGUUCAUAUCGACGGCGGAGUUUGGCACCUCGAUGUCGGCUCAUCACAUCCUGGGGCUGUAGUCGGUCCCAAGGGUAUGGCUGUUCGCCAUUUAAAGUGGUACGUGAGCUGGGUUUAAAACGUCGUGAGACAGUUUGGUCCCUAUCUGCAGUGGGCGUUGGAAAUUUGACGGGGGCUGCUCCUAGUACGAGAGGACCGGAGUGGACGAACCUCUGGUGUACCGGUUGUCACGCCAGUGGCAUAGCCGGGUAGCUAAGUUCGGAAGAGAUAAACGCUGAAAGCAUCUAAGCGUGAAACUCGCCUGAAGAUGAGAUUUCCCUUGUGGUUUAACCACACUAAAGAGUCGUUCGAGACCAGGACGUUGAUAGGUGGGGUGUGGAAGAGCGGUAACGCUUGAAGCUAACCCAUACUAAUUGCUCGUGAGGCUUGACUCU
rnacentral:rRNA from 1 species